GAAAUGGUGGAGAUUUUUUUUCUGCGGUCAUUCUGUUCUUACGGAAUCUCAGGAACUAUACUUUGUCCCAGCUUGUUUUAGGUGACCGUGGAGCUACAGUACUUGGGAGAGCACUUCAAAGUGUGCCAAAUCUAAAGUCGAUCAAUCUGUACCAGUGCUCUGGUUGGACAGCAGCUCGAGGGCGUGACCUGGUCAGAGGUCUGGUGCAGGUGCAUCUUGCUGGCAGAGAUACGACUGGACUCUGUGGUACUUGAUGAGGAGGGUAUAACCAUCCUAGCUCAAGGCUUCAGCCAUUUGGCCUCACUUAGAAGGCUCAGCUUGAACAACAUUAGAGUGGUGACAUCAGAGACGUUUGUGAAUGGCACUGGCAUACUUUGUCUUCUGACCUCUUUUAAGGUUUUUAGACUGAUGGAAGAGAUUGAGUUGGAAAGUUGGCGAAUGGGAGAUGGUGGUACUUAUGAGCUUGUGAAAUACAUGAAUUCGUGGACUGAACUAGUAAAACUAAGUCUGUCAGACAACAAUGUGACUGACCAGGCUGGAGAGAAGCAACUGGUGGCACUAUCCCACUGCAGAGUUCUUCAGAAACUACAGCUGUCCAAAAACCGGCUUGGUCAGGCAUGUGCUGCUAAACUAGCUCAAGUCCUUCCGUUACUGCCCCAACUUUCAG